AGUGAACGCUGGCGGUAGGCCUAACACAUGCCAGUCGAACGGCAGCACAGUAAGGGCUUGCUCUUACGGGUGGCGAGUGGCGGACGGGGGAGGAAUAAAUCGGGAUCUACUUUUUCGUGGGGGAUAACGUAGGGAAACUUACGCUAAUACCGCAUACGACCUACGGGUGAAAGCAGGGGAUCUUCGGACCUUGCGCGAUUGAAUGAGCCGAUGUCGGAUUAGCUAGUUGGCGGGGUAAAGGCCCACCAAGGCGACGAUCCGUAGCUGGUCUGAGAGGAUGAUCAGCCACACUGGAACUGAGACACGGUCCAGACUCCUACGGGAGGCAGCAGUGGGGAAUAUUGGACAAUGGGCGCAAGCCUGAUCCAGCCAUACCGCGUGGGUGAAGAAGGCCUUCGGGUUGUAAAGCCCUUUUGUUGGGAAAGAAAAGCAGCAGGUUAAUACCCCGCUGUUCUGACGGUACCCAAAGAAUAAGCACCGGCUAACUUCGUG
rnacentral:rRNA from 1 species